AAUGGGUAAGGAUUGGAGAUUAAUAUAAAGGAGGUGAGUCCCUCUUCUCAUCUAACAUGCUACGAGUAUCCCAUAGCUCAAACAUACUUCUUGGUUCUUAUACCUCUGCCACUUACUUAUCAAGCUCUCUGAUCAGGAUGUGUUUAUGUAUACAGAAAUUUCCAACAUUCGGUGCAUACAGUACAAUGGAUUCAAUAAUAGCUCUAACCUGUUUUCACGAGUAGAUGAUUAUUAUGUUACUUAGCUUAAUAGAAGAAAUCCAACAACGUUGCAGCAAAUUGUACUGAAUA